rnacentral:rRNA from 1 species
GUAAGGAAUUUUCCACAAUGGGCGAAAGCCUGAUGGAGCAACGCCGCGUGGGCGAAGAAGGCCUUCGGGUCGUAAAGCCCUUUUCUAGGGGACGAUAAUGACGGUACCCUAGGAAUAAGCCACGGCUAACUACGUGCCAGCAGCCGCGGUAAUACGUAGGUGGCGAGCGUUGUCCGGAUUUAUUGGGCGUAAAGAGCGCGAAGGCGGUGCCCUAAGUUGGGCGUGAAAUCCCCUGGCUUAACUGGGGGAGGUCGUUCAAUACUGGGGUGCUUGAGGGUGGACGGGGAGAGCGGAAUUCCCGGUGUAGUGGUGAAAUGCGUAGAUAUCGGGAGGAACACCAGUGGCGAAGGCGGCUCUCUAGACCACUCCUGACGCUCAAGCGCGAAAGCGUGGGUAGCGAACGGAAUUAGAUACCCCGGUAGUCC